rnacentral:misc_RNA from 1 species
CGCCUUCAAGCCCGGCUUGGCGUUGGGCGCGACCCCGAGCGGUCCGCCCCAAGGACAGCGGCGGCGUCACAGGGCCCCGAGCGCAGUACGUGCCGCGCCACGGGGCCCGGCGGCCGCCCGCCUCACACCCGACUAGU